ACGCUCGACACCUACGGGAGGUAGCAGUGGGGAAUAUUGCACAAUGGGGGAAACCCUGAUGCAGCGACGCCGCGUGAGCGAAGAAGUAUUUCGGUAUGUAAAGCUCUAUCAGCAGGGAAGAAAGUGACGGUACCUGACUAAGAAGCACCGGCUAAAUACGUGCCUGCAGCCGCGGUAAUCUGAGCGGGCUGGCAAGGC
rnacentral:rRNA from 1 species